rnacentral:tRNA from 1 species
GGGGUUGUAGCUCAGAGGUAGAGCACUCACCUAGCAUGCGUGAGGCACUGGGUUUGAUCCUCAGCACCACA